rnacentral:rRNA from 1 species
CCUGGUAGCGGGGGGUAACUAUUGGAAACGAUAGCUAAUGCCGCAUAAUAUUGAUUAUUGCAUGAUAAUUGAUUGAAAGAUGCAACUGCAUCACUACCAGAUGGACCUGCGUUGUAUUAGCUAGUAGGUGAGGUAACGGCUCACCUAGGCGACGAUACAUAGCCGACCUGAGAGGGUGAUCGGCCACACUGGGACUGAGACACGGCCCAG